GAAAAAAACAACAACAAGUAGUGUGAAAGGGGAAUGUCGUUACUUUAUUAUUAUAAAUAGACAUUACUUUGCUAGUGUUCAGUUGUAGAGUAAUCAGCUGAGUUUAGCAAAUUGUACAACAUCAAUUGUUUUGGGCCAUAAAGCCCAGCUGUUAUUUUGGAGGACUGCAGGCGGCCUCUGUGCUGGGAGGUAUUGCGCAAUACCCGGAAGAACGCAUCGUCUCAAACUGUCAACAGAGCUGUCUGUGUGCUCGUGACCUUGCGAGUUCAUUCCAUGGAUGUAUUAUAAGAGCUCUUAUUGUACAUCCAUGGUUCAUUCUUCCAAGAACGACUAGCAAGAACAUUCUCCCCAAAGACACAAGUCCAUUCUUUGCGUUGAGAAAGGCCCUUCUAAUAUACAUCCAUACUUUUUAUAGCCAGGUAUCCCAGAAUGCAUUUCUCACACAUCGGCGGCAAUGGCGGAGGAAAUCAAAACGUACGACUGGACAACUGAGGAAACCCGGGCCCUCAUUGAGUUGAGGGCUGCCAAUGAGAGGGUUUUUACGAGCAGGCAGAAUUCCUUAGUCUGGAUGGGAAAGAGUAUUGAUUUUGAGUGCUUGUAUCAUUUCCUGUAUGUCUAGUGUCCAUUCAUAAUGAUUAAUAUCUUAUAGAAGUGGCAGUGUGUCACUCUUUGUUUAUGUUUUUGUUUUUCCCAGGGACUUUGUCACCACUUCUGGCCUGGCAACAACUGCCAAACAGGCCAAAAAGAAGUAGAACAAUUUAAAAGACAAAUACAAGGGAUCCACCAGCAGGCCCUCAGACCUGCAGCGUGGCGACGGCACCAUGCCAGUCUGUGCCGGGCUCCCACCACAGCCUCAUCCAAAACGCUUAAUCAAAAGGGACACUCUCUCCACUUGGUCCCGCAUGAAAAGGAAGCUGUUGGCCCAUGCUGUGUACCUUGGCAGCUAGACAGAGAAUAACCCAGAUUGGUCUACUAUCCACUACGCUGCGAGGAUAGUGGAGAGAAGGCCUGCGAUACAAUCUGCAUUUUCUAGCAGGUGCCAUUUCUAAGGAAACUGCUCAACAAGGCGUCUGAGGCUGUGAUGAAGCAUAAACCUCCAGCCUGCGGGAACAAGUCACCAUAUCAGAGACGAAUGGAAAAAUGAGUCCGUGGAAGUUCUGCGGAGCAGCGGAUGUAUGGCUUGUUCUUUUCCCAAGGUGGGAACGCCUGCAACCCCGAGUCCCUGAUCCCUGUUUUCAGACCCCGUUUCAAAGCCCAGCGGUCUGCUGCUCCCCUCCCCCGCUCACUGCGGGCUGCGUCAAUCGCAACAAAAUAACACCGGAAAUGAGCUUUUCCUCCAAAAUACAGGUUCUGCAUGUCUCAGUCCUAGAUUGUGGUAGAUGAGUGGUAGAGUGGUAGAUGUUCCUAUUCGUUUGGUUGGUGAAUCUCGAGUCUUCUUCACAGCUAUAUGCUGAUUUUAUACAAAAUAAGAUGACAUUUUAUCCCGUGGAAUUUGGUCAUUUUAGCAACACACAGUAGAUAAAACCUGAUAAAAGAAGUUGAAAUUGAUGAAUUAUGUCAGAAACAGAAUCAAGUUUGCACAUACAAGGAGUUUGCCUUGUUGUUUUGGUGUAUAACAGCCAAAAAAAAAUAGACAAAAUUAAGUAGUCCUAAACAAUAUAAAAAGGAAGAAAUGUACAAUAAAAAAAAUUGUAAGAAAUAUUCUGAGUAACAAGAGCUGCUAUUGUAAAGUGAACAGAAUGAAAAGAAAUGUACAAAACAUUGACCAGGAGUAAACAGUGUAUGCAGUGUGUAUAAUAAAAAUAGUAAUAAUAAUAAUAAUAAUAAUAAUAAUAAUAAUAAUAAUAAUACAAUUUGCAUUAAUGCAAAGUGCCAUGUUUGAUCAAAGAUCACAGAUGUGUAAAUAUAAGAUUAUGUGCUAUAAAUUGCAUAACACAUUGCAUGUAAAGUAUAGAAAAACAGUAUUAAAAGGCUUGUAAAAUAUAUCAGCAGGAUAAAAAAAAAAAAGAAUAAAAAUAGAUAUAAUUUAUAAUAAAUUAUACAAAUGUCAAUAUAUGUCUGUAUAAUAUGCAUAAUUUCAAGUAACAUAUGACAGAUGACAUGAAAUACGAGGACCUGCAAAAUAAUGUAAAUUCCUUCUGGAAAAUGUGCAAAUAUAAGAAAACAGUUACAUGAAUGAAUUAAGCGUUCUUGCUUUUAUUGUUUUUAUCAUUUGUUUUUUGUACUGUUGCUUGUUUACUCUGUAAAACACUUUGGGUAUGAAAUGUGCCUUAGAAAUAAAUUUGCCUUGUCUUGUAGUAUUUUGUAUUAUGGACAUAUUGUACACAGUCUGUAUAUAAACAUGUCUAACUUAACACAGAUUUUGUUAUUUUUAUCUGUAGUAUUAGUCCAGACUGUUGAAUAGUUUUAUUUCUCACAGGUUGUUCUUCAGUAAGCCAU